AGAUUGAACGCUGGCGGCAGGCCUAACACAUGCAAGUCGAGCGGCAGCACGGGUACUUGUACCUGGUGGCGAGCGGCGGACGGGUGAGUAAUGCCUAGGAAUCUGCCUGAUAGUGGGGGAUAACGUUCGGAAACGGACGCUAAUACCGCAUACGUCCUACGGGAGAAAGUGGGGGAUCUUCGGACCUCACGCUAUCAGAUGAGCCUAGGUCGGAUUAGCUAGUUGGUAGGGUAAAGGCCUACCAAGGCUACGAUCCGUAACUGGUCUGAGAGGAUGAUCAGUCACACUGGAACUGAGACACGGUCCAGACUCCGUACGGGAGCAG
rnacentral:rRNA from 1 species